GAUGAACGCGUAGCGGGAGGCUUAACACAUGCAAGUCGAGGGGCAGCAUAGGGUAGCAAUACUCUGAUGGCGACGGCAAACGGGUGAGUAACGCGUAUGCAACCUACCCUGUACAGGGGGAUAACCCGGAGAAAUUCGGACUAAUAUCCCGUAAUAAUAUCCGGAGGCAUCUUUGGAUAUUUAAAGUUCCGACGGUACGGGAUGGGCAUGCGUAACAUUAGCUGGUUGGUAAGGUAACGGCUUACCAAGGCUAUGAUGUUUAGGGGUCCUGAGAGGGUGGUCCCCCACACUGGUACUGAGACACGGACCAGACUCCUACGGGAGGCAGCAGUGAGGAAUAUUGGUCAAUGGGCGCAAGCCUGAACCAGCCAUCCCGCGUGCAGGAAGACGGCCCUAUGGGUUGUAAACUGCUUUUCCAGGGAGAGAAACUUACGCACGUGUUGCGUGACUGACGGUACCCUGGGAAUAAGCAUCGGCUAACUCCGUG
rnacentral:rRNA from 1 species